GUCUCUAUGGCGCAAUGGAUAGCGCGUGCGACUUCUAAUCGCGAGGUUGCGGGUUCGAGUCCCGCUAGAGACU
rnacentral:tRNA from 1 species